rnacentral:lncRNA from 1 species
AGUGCUGGGCUGGGCUUUGUUUUCAGUUGCCAUUGGAGAGUUCGGUUGUAGUCAAAUUGCUUCUCUUCUACUUCUAAACACCAGUUCGACGGUCGCACGAUUUUAAACAGGGUACGAGGGUUUUGAUAAAUUAUUAAAAUUUUGAAAAUUUAUUUCAACUUCUCUCUCUAAAGAAAUUAGGGAAAGUUGGAUUUGGAAGAUAUAAAUUUUUAUAGGAUGAUAUGGCAUUACAUGAAUUAAAAUUAAGAAUAAUUGUUAAUUUUCAAGAUUAAUGUGAGAAGUUUAAAGAUUAAUAUGGAUUAAAAAAAAUUCAAAAAUUAUGUUGAGAAAAAUUAUCAGGUUUAGGGACUAAAUGUUAUUUUAUCCUUUUUUGUUAUGGUCACCCUUAUUUUGAGAUUUUAAUAUUUAGACUCGAAAGUAGUUAAUGUAACUAUUUUGUUUUAAUUGAUAGUAUUUUAGCAUUUAGGUUAUAUUGGAGUUUAAUUGGAAUACCUUUGUGAAAGAAAAUAAUUGUCCUAAUAAGCUUAAGAUAGUGUAGUUCACGUUGCAACUUCUCUAAGGCUAAGUUGCAAAGCGGCUGGAAAAGAUGAACUAAGAAGUGGUAACUUAGCGGCAGAAGUUGUGACGUCGUGAUGGGUGUAGCCAAGGAUGAACAACUCAAGAGCCAACGUUGCAAUGUUGCACGUUCGAAGUUGUAAUGUGUUGAAGUUAAUUGCUUGAUCCCUAAUAGUUACUUGAGGUUAAAAGAGAAAAUUACAAGCUAAGUCGUGACUUCAUAAUGGUGAAGUUGCAAUAUUGAGAGCACUUGAGCAUUUUAAUAAAGAAAUUUU